UACGAAGGGGGCUAGCGUUGUUCGGAAUUACUGGGCGUAAAGCGCACGUAGGCGGGUUGUUAAGUCAGGGGUGAAAUCCUGGAGCUCAACUCCAGAACUGCCUUUGAUACUGGCAACCUAGAGACUGGAAGAGGUUAGUGGAAUUCCCAGUGUAGAGGUGAAAUUCGUAGAUAUCAGGAGGAACACCAGUGGCGAAGGCGGCUUUCUGGACGGUAACUGACGCUGAGGCGCGAAAGCCAGGGGAGCAAACGGG
rnacentral:rRNA from 1 species